GUUUUAGUAGUUUAAUAAAAACAUUGGUCUUGUAAACCAAAAUUAAGGAAUCUUCUUCUAAAACU
rnacentral:tRNA from 1 species